GGCAGGCCAGCCUGCGCUUCUGGGGCGCCACGCUGUUGCUGUGGCUGUGGUGCCGCGCCCGUGGCGUGCCGCUGUUCGAACGCGACGGCACGCUC
rnacentral:tRNA from 1 species